rnacentral:rRNA from 1 species
UGCGAGUCGAAUGUAGCAAUACAUGGCGUACUGCUCAGUAACACGUGGACAACCUACCCUUGGGACGGGGAUAAACCCGGGAAACUGGGUAUAAUACCCGAUAGAUCUCGAAUGCUGGAAUGCAUCGAGAUCAAAAGCUCCGGUGCCCAAGGAUGGGUCUGCGGCCUAUCAGGUAGUAGUGGGUGUAGCGUACUUACUAGCCUACGACGGGUACGGGUUGUGAGAGCAAGAGCCCGGAGAUGGAUUCUGAGACACGAAUCCAGGCCCUACGGGGUGCAGCAGGCGCGAAAACUUUACAAUGCUGGAAACAGCGAUAAGGGGACCUCGAGUGCCAGAUUACAAAUCUGGCUGUCGUAAUGCCUAAAAAGCAUUGCAUAGCAAGGGCCGGGCAAGACCGGUGCCAGCCGCCGCGGUAACACCGGCGGCUCGAGUGGUAACCGUUAUUAUUGGGUCUAAAGGGUCUGUAGCCGGCCGGAUAAGUCUCUUGGGAAAUCUGGCAGCUUAACUGUCAGGCUUUCAGGGGAUACUGUCUGGCUCGAGGCCGGGAGAGGUGAGAGGUACUUCAGGGGUAGGGGUGAAAUCUUGUAAUCCUUGAAGGACCACCAGUGGCGAAGGCGUCUCACCAGAACGGACCUGACGGCAAGGGACGAAAGCUAGGGGCACGAACCGGAUUAGAUACCCGGGUAGUCCUAGCCGUAAACGAUACUCGCUAGGUGUCGGCCACGGUGCGACCGUGUUCGGUGCCGUAGGGAAGCCGUGAAGCGAGCCACCUGGGAAGUACGGCCGCGAGGCUGAAACUUAAAGGAAUUGGCGGGGGAGCACCACAACGGGUGGAGCUUGCGGU